ensembl:lncRNA RPSAP52 ribosomal protein SA pseudogene 52
GCAUCCCAUUUAGAGAAUUCGGGAAGGUUCCCUGCAAGCUUCUGUGGGACCACUAGCACCAGUGGGCACAUCGAGAGCAAACACAUCGGAGACAAAUUUUUCUUUCUUUGUGAACUCUGCCUUAACUCAAAGAUUCCUGUCAUGACUUAAAGAGAAACUUUCACAAUGUCUGGAGCCCUUGAUGUCCUGCAAAUGAAGGAGGAGGAUGUCCUUAAGCUCCUUGCAGUGGGAAUCCAAUUAGGUGGCACCAAAUUGACUUCCAAAUGGAACAGUACAUCUAUAAAAGGAAAGUGAUGGCAUCUACAGCAUAAAUCUGAAGAGGACCUGGGAGAAGCUUCUGCUGGCAGGUCAUGCCAUUGUUGUCAUUGAAAACUCUGCUGAUGUCAGUGUCAUAUCCUCCAGGAAUACUGGCCAGAAGGCUAUGCUGAAGUUUGCUGCUGCCACUGGAGCCACUCCAAUUGCUGGCCACUUCACUCCUGGAACCUUCCUAACCAGAUCCAGGCAGCCUACUGGGAGCCACGGCUUCUUGUGGUUUCUGACCCCAGGGCUGACCACCAGUCUCUCACAGAGGCAUCUUGUGUUAACCCACCUGCCAUUGCUUUAUGCAACACAGAUUCUCCUCUGUGCCAUUGGACAUUGCCAUCACAUGCAACAACAAGGGAGCUCCCUCAGUGGGUCAGAUGUGGUAGAUGCUGGCCUGGGAAGUUCUGCACAUGCGUGGCACCAUUUCCUGCAACACCCAUGGGAGGUAAUGUCUAAUCUCUACUUCUACAGAGAUCCUGAAGAGACUGAAAAAGAAGAGCAGGCUGCUGCUGAAAAGGCUGUGACCAAGAAGGAAUUUCAGGGUAAAUGGACUGUUUCAGCUCCUGAGUUCACUGUUACUCAGCCUGAAGUUGCAGACUGGUCUGAAGGCAUGCAGGUGCCCUCUGUGCCUAUUCAGCAGUUUCUACUGAAGACUGGAAGGCUCAGCCUGCCAUGGAAGACUGGUCCACAGCUCCACUGCUCAGGCCACUGAAUGGGUAGGAGCAACCACUGAAUGGUCUUAAGCUGUUCUUGCACGGACUCUUAAGCAACAUGAAAAUAAGGUUGACAGAAAAUAAACAUCAGUUUCUAAAAAAUAAAAAAUAAAAUUCUGUGAUGCAAA